rnacentral:rRNA from 1 species
AAGUUUUCGGAUGGAAUUCGAUUGACUGAGUGGCGGACGGGUGAGUAACGCGUGGAUAACCUGCCUCACACUGGGGGAUAACAGUUAGAAAUGACUGCUAAUACCGCAUAAGCGCACAGUACCGCAUGGUACAGUGUGAAAAACUCCGGUGGUGUGAGAUGGAUCCGCGUCUGAUUAGCCAGUUGGCGGGGUAACGGCCCACCAAAGCGACGAUCAGUAGCCGACCUGAGAGGGUGACCGGCCACAUUGGGACUGAGACACGGCCCAAACUCC